UACAGAGGUCUCAAGCGUUGUUCGGAUUCAUUGGGCGUAAAGGGUGCGUAGGUGGCGCCGUAAGUCGGGUGUGAAAAUUUCGGAGCUUAACUCCGAAACUGCAUUCGAUACUGCGGUGCUUGAGGACUGGAGAGGAGACUGGAAUUCAUGGUGUAGCGGUGAAAUGCGCAGAUAUCAGGAGGAACACCGAUGGCGAAGGCAGGUCUCUGGGCAUUAACUGACGCUGAGGAGCGAAAGCAUGGGGAGCGAACAGG
rnacentral:rRNA from 1 species